UACGGAGGGGGCUAGCGUUGUUCGGAAUUACUGGGCGUAAAGCGCACGUAGGCGGCUUUGUAAGUUAGAGGUGAAAGCCCAGAGCUCAACUCUGGAACUGCCUUUAAGACUGCAUCGCUUGAAUCAUGGAGAGGUCAGUGGAAUUCCGAGUGUAGAGGUGAAAUUCGUAGAUAUUCGGAAGAACACCAGUGGCGAAGGCGACUGACUGGACAUGUAUUGACGCUGAGGUGCGAAAGCGUGGGGAGCGAACAGG
rnacentral:rRNA from 1 species